rnacentral:lncRNA from 1 species
ACGGUGCUCACCCGGGGUUGGUCAAAUUCAAUACUCGAAUGGAACGCCCUCCAUCGUACAGUUCGGCGGACACGGAAGAGCUAGUUCAUAGGGCUCGUGCAGCUCAUGAACCGAGGACCGACGGUGAAAAGCUCGGGAUGAUGAUGGGGCUAGCAACUGGUCCUCAAAGAAGCUAGAUCUCUUGGGCGAUUUGUUUCCCUUGUAGCCAAGUCAUACUCAUUCCGUACGACGAAGGAUUGGGCCUUCGAGGUCGGAACUCAUCACAUUACUGGGUAGAUCAGUUGGGGGAUAAGGGUUUUAGUUCAAUAAAGGUGCUUCUCAUUAUAUCGAAUAAUAAGUUAGGCCUGUAGUGCUCCGGGAUUCUAACCCGUUCCCUGGUAGUAGAGAGAGAGAUCCGCAUAAGCCGUGCUGGGGAAUACCAGCUAAGUAACUCGAAACUGGUAACUAACUAUAGCCCGCUCGCCUACCCGGGUCAAUUAUGGGCUCCCCCUACUACUAGUGGGUGCCUCCGGUUCGAGACGGGACUGUUUAAGAAAAAUAA